rnacentral:snRNA from 1 species
AGCUGCGUGACGAGCGCAGAGCGAACUAUUCUUUCGCCUUUUACUAAAGAAUACCGUGCGCUUGUCACAUAAAGCAGCAUACACUUAUUUUUGAAGGGUGCUGUCGUCCUG